GCUGGGUGUGGUGGCGCACACCUGUAAUCCCAGCUACUCAGGAGGCUGAGACAGGAGAAUCACUUAAGCCUAGGAGGCAGAGGUUGCAGUGAGCCGAGAUGGAACCACUGCACUCCAGCCUGGGUGGGCCACAGAGCGAGAGUCUGUUUCAAAAUAAUAAAUAAACAAAAUUAGCUGGACGUGGUGGUAUACACCUGUGGUCAGGAGGCUGAGGUGGGAAGCUUGCUUCAGCCCAGGAGGUUGAGGCUGCAGUGAGCCAUGAUCAGGCCACUGCACUUCAGCCUAGGAAACAGAGUGAGAACUUGUCUCCA
rfam:Chlorocebus sabaeus isolate 1994-021 chromosome 5, whole genome shotgun sequence.